UUCAAGAAGAGAAAAUGGCGCAGAUGAAGCAAAUAUUUCAAAGUUUAAAUCGAAGAUGUGUACGAGCGCCCUGGAAACUUAGUAAAAUAAAUUAUUCGAAGAUUGUUAUGAUAAAAAGCCCGCAUUUAGUCAAUAUGGUUUAGUUGAGGCCCAGCUCCAGUGCCCUCGUUGUAGCAGGAUAGAGUCCGUAAAGCAGAUUCUUUAUUGCACUCCUACAAAGUCCCAUAGAAACCUUGCUAGUGAAGGAAAGUUUAACCUGUCUCAGUGUGGACCGAAGAAACCUAGAUGGUUCUGCUCAAUUUGUAAUUUCAAUUUUACUCAAUAAAAGAAUGUAGAGUUUAA